AAUUGUCAUCCCUAUGCUGAUCACCACCAAAAGGCUCCUCAUGUGAUUGACCGAGGAGUUUAUAAAAACUCUGAGGUUAAGCGUGUUAGGAUGAGAGUAGUACCAGGAUGGGUGAACUAUUGGGAAGUCUCACCAAAUC
rnacentral:rRNA from 1 species